ensembl:lncRNA
CCACUGGUUGAACCAUGACUUUUAUGUUAUGCUCAGCUAGUACCCUAGGGCUGUAUUAUUGCUUUGAAUUGCCAUGGCUUAUAGACUGACUAGUGCGUGAGGCUUUUGUUUGACGGCAACCUCGGUCCUUUUGAGUCGUAUUUAUUUAUUUAUUAAUUUAUUAAUUCUUGUUCCUUCACAAUGUUAUAAAAUUGUGUCAGAGAGCCUGAGUGUGCUGUUUUCUGUUCUCGUUCUCCCGCCCUCUAUGAGACUCCGUUCAGCCCGACGGGGGCGCCGCGGCUCCACUUUUUUUUCUUUUCUUUUUCUUCUUUUUUUUUUUUUUUUUGAAAGAGCGCUGUGUGAAAAGAGAAGCCGCUUUUUUUGUGGCGAAACUAAAAGCUCCCCCCAAAACCCGAAACUGACCAAUGAAUAAAAAAAACAACUUCUCCGUGAGAGGCCAGUAGAGGACCGUGUGGAAAAUUCGCGUUAGCGGUACAGCGGUAUGGAGUUCCCGCAACACCAGAAGCCGCCGGGGGACGGCAAGAUCAUUUACCCGCCCGGAGUGAAGGAGAUCACGGACAAAAUCAGCAACGAUGAAGUGGUGAAACGGUUAAAGGGAUCUGCAGGUGAGGCAAGGAUCCAGUCCAG